rnacentral:rRNA from 1 species
UACGGAGGGUGCGAGCGUUGUCCGGAAUUAUUGGGCGUAAAGGGCGCGUAGGCGGUGCGGUAAGUCACCUGUGAAAUCUCCUGGCUCAACUGGGAGCUUGCAGGCGAAACUGCCGUGCUGGAGUGUGGGAGAGGUGCGUGGAAUUCCUGGUGUAGCGGUGAAAUGCGUAGAUAUCAGGAGGAACACCUGUGGCGAAAGCGGCGCACUGGACCACAACUGACGCUGAGGCGCGAAAGCUAGGGGAGCAAACAGG